AGAGAUCUUACUAGCCAAGUUCAGAUCUUUCAGUCUUGUGGAUAGAAGCAAUUGAACUUUGACAGGUGACACCAGCGAUCUGCCAAAUGUAGCAGCGAGUUGUAACUUUGGAGGCUUUUUCUUCCAAAGGGUUUCCUGCGAAUGUACUGUAAUAAGAAUGAGACCAGCCAAGAACAUAGCUGUCAACAUCGUGAACCUUGAAAGAAAGAAAAAACAAAUAAAGCGGGAAUAUUUUUAGCGUCCUCCUUUGCUGGAGGAUGCAGUCACCACCUCCGGGACCGGGUCCUGCCCCGGCUGCGAGCGCAGGGCGCCCGCCCAGACCCUA